AUUCGAAUUUGUAUAUUAUAUAUAAGUAUAUCUAAGUGAAUAUAUAUAUAUCUAAUAGGUACAAGAAAUGUAGAACUAAAUAAAUGGACUUAUUCAUCUUUAUAAAUGAAAUAGAUGUAUAAUAAUCCACUUUUUUGAUUAUUUAUUAUUAUUAUUAUUCUAUUGUUCCUUUUUGUCUUCUAAUUUGAAUUAAUAAAGAAAGAAUUUAUUCCAUUACAAAUUCCCGAAAGAUUUAUUAGAAUCUGAUCCAACAACAGAAUUUUUAUUAAUAAGCAUGGAAUUGUAAAAAGAUGUAAGACUCUAUAUCUAUAUUUUCAUUUUCUAUAUUUCUCUAUUUGAUAUUUGAAUUAUAUAUACAUACGUAAAAGAGGAAGAUGACAUUCUUUUAUUUGCCCCUCUCAAAAAUAUCCCCCCACCUUGCCUCAAUAACCCUACACCAUAACCUCCCCUCCUCCGAAUAUCAUCUCCACAACCACUUCCCCAACAACGCCUUGUUCAAAUCCACUAAAGACCGCAAACCCAGAUCCCUUUUCCAUUUUGGUUGUUUCACCUCAUCCCACUUCGCCAAAUAAUAUUUACGGCAUGAGAAAGCAGUUUCCAUAGAAAGAUAGCAACCAUUGAUCAUAGUAUGACCCCUUCUCAUCAAUUUAUCAAAAG
rnacentral:lncRNA from 1 species